UACAGAGGUCCCAAGCGUUGUUCGGAUUCACUGGGCGUAAAGGGUGCGCAGGUGGGUUUGCAAGUUCGAUGUGAAAUCCCGGGGCGUCAACCCUGGAAUUCGCAUUGAAUACGUGGUGGGACUAGAGUACUGGAGAAGGAAACUGGAAUUUACGGUGUAGGCAGUGAAAUGCGUAGAUAUCAGGAGGAAUACCGAUGGCGAAGGCAGGUCUCUGGGCUAUAACUGACGCUCAUGCACGAAAGCGUGGGGAGCAAACAGGAUAGAUACCC
rnacentral:rRNA from 1 species